UUUCUCCAAACUUCUCUUUUUCAUUUUACUAAACUUUCUAGCAUUUUCUCUUCUAACCUUGAAUUUUAUCAAGUUAUGUUCUUGAUUUCUCUUUUGAAUCCUAUAUGUCAAUGAGGUUAAGAAAGUUUUGACCCCUAAAAUUAAGGACCAUAAUGUGGGCCAUGAAUUAUGGGAAGAGAUUGGUUGCUAAGUAGGUUGAUCAAAUAUUCCAGUGUUAUUCGUCCAGCAGUUCAUAUGAUAUGAAUUGUAGUUGUGUAGAAACUAGCUGCUGGUAGUUAGUUUUUUUGUUAGAAACUGCAUGAUGGUAGUUAUUUGUAGAAAAUAAUUGCCGGUAGUUAUGUAUUAGAAGUAUAUAUCUGAUUGUAGGUUGUGUAAUUAAGCAGUGUGAAGUUAUUUGUAAUUUGUGGACAGAGAAUAUUCAAUGUAGAAGACUUCUAUCGCUGGGACAACAAUUAUAUUGUUGUAUUUUGCAUGAUUUCAGUGUUCAAUAUGAAUGUUUUAUUACUCGUAUCAAUUGUUGUUCUGUCGUCAUAAAUAUGAAAGCAUAAGCCAAAGGCAAUUGUUCCUGUUAGGAUGAUUAAAUAUUCCUGUGUUAUUCCUCCAGCAAUUGGUAUAAAUUGAGAAUUGAGGCAUAAGCUUGAGGCAAUUGCUUGUUCGUCAACCUUAAAGUUUCUAUAUAUUGUCUCUCCCUAUCCAACUCUUCCAAAUUUCUCUUUUCUACAAAAUUUUUCAACACAGCUCAAGGCUGUUUCAAGGGAAUAGCUCUAUAUAUGCAAAGAUUGGGCAGCAUACUGCAUUUGUGGGGCUUCUUUAAUUUGAGAAUUCUUAUUUUUGUUAUUUUUAGUUACAAAAAUGGUACCUUAUUUUCUAUUUUUGAAGGUUUGUUUAGGAAGCUUUUAUUGAAUUUGCUACUGAAGUAAUUUGUUCAUGAAGUUUAUCCCAGCUGCAAUAUUUAAGACAAAUAUAUCACGAAGUUUUUCUUUGGUUUCACUAUUGCUUGAGGUCCUUGUUGUAGCACUUUUAAAAGGAACAAAUUGAAGUAGGUUUGACUCAAAGCAUAGUUGAUAAAUCUGAAGUUUCUCCUCUAGAUGUUGUUGGUAUAGUGCUAGGGCCAGAGCACUCCAGGAGAGUACGAUGCAUGGGAUUGGGUGCUGUUCCUUCUAAUAGAUUUAGGAAUACAAGACGUCGCGUUUCUAGCUUGAGUUCUUCUUCAUCUGGUGUUUCCUUUCCAUCUUUAAACCAAUGGCAAGAGAAAUACAACAAUCUAGAAUAAGCUUUUAAAGCCUACAUGAUAAUGAAGGAAGGAAGGAUCCCUGGAGAAUUAGCUAGUUAUUUCACUCCUGAAACACAUCCAAACGAUGCUUCAAGUGUUCCUAAUACACCUUUGGAUGCAAGAGGAUCAUCUGGUGCUAGCAACCCUUAGUUUGCAUAUAUUGUAUUUUGGAUUUAAAGUUUAGUAUGAGGCUAAUUUGACAAUGUUAUGGAUUUUAUGUUGUACUUGGAUUUAUAAUAGAAGUUUGAAUUAUAAAUCUUUGAACUA